CCACAUUUUUGUUGACUACGUCUUAUAUAAAAUUUAAUAAUAAAUAACUCAUAUAUCUUGAUAUAAAACGACUUUUGAAGCCUUAAAUAGUACACUCCGUAAGUUCUUUUAACAGCAAAAUCUAAUAAUAAUUCAAGAACAUGUUGAGAUCGAUUUUUCUUAUUUUCGAGUUGCAGUCUAAGAGUUCAAAUUUGAAAACAUUUUCUGCAAAUUCCGAUAUCACUUUUUUAAGGAUAAUUUUCAUAAGUUGGGGGUGUAAUCGCGAUCACAAUUGCAAAUGCUACAAGAAACCCAUGAGAUUUUUCGUAAGGGAAAUAUAUUGAUGUUGAUACAUGCAUAAUCAUUAAUUAGGAAUCAGAAACUGAUUCCAUUUAGCAGUUAAGAAUGUCUGGAAAAGAGAGUUUCAUUUCUCAUUUUUUGAGAGACUUCAAGAAGAAAAAAGCUAGCUGAAGUUUGAAAUCUCAUAGCAAAAUAGGAUAAAAAUGUAAGAGGUCAAGUUAGAUUAGAGCAAGAACCAAACAAAAACAGCUAAAUUAUACAGAUAUCAAUACACUAGAAGCUAGGCACAUUUUAUUUCCUGGAAUUCGACAAACAAAAGCAAUUCUUUCUAACACUGGAUAAAUCUCCCAACAAAGCAGCAACAACCUUUAUUAUUUCCUUGGGGGGUGUAAGGGUAGAGAAGGAAAUUACGUGGGUGGAUUAAGAUAAUUUUUAAUUUAAAAAGUAAAUAUAAGGUGCUUUCGGCAUGUGGGGUGUGGUUAAUAAAAUGUGGGAUGUUAAUAAAACUCUUAUACAAAUAGGAGUAAUACUAGGGAAACCAAAAUUGUAAAUUAAACUUUGCAAACUAAAUUAAGUGAUCGUUGAUAAUUAAAUUAUUACUCAAGUGUUGAAUAAGAUGCUUAUUUUCUAUCGAUGCUAUUGGCAUAUCAUUUGAUUUAUAAAUUUAAUUUAAAAUUUUAGUUUAAAAAUUUAAUCUUCUUAAUAUUAUUUUAAAAAUAAACAGCCAUAUAAUCUUACAAAAUUAGGAUUUUAUGAGUUGUCAGAGGACAAUAUUUAAUUGAAGAAAACGAAACCAAGUUUGAAAUAAUACUUUUUUUUUAAUUUUAUAGUAAUCCGAAGUUUGGCGUUUUUCUAUAUAUUUUCUAUGGUUCACGAAAUGGACAAAACGACAAAAUUAUGUAGUUUUCAUUACCAGUUGGCUUGACAUCUGUAAGAAUGAUUUAGAUCAUGUUCAGAUUAUACUUACAAAACUAUGUGGUAUGUCACGUAUACUAAAUAGAGUAAGAUUCUCUCUUUUUCUAUUUUUAUCACCUUUCCUCUUCUUUUCUCACAUAUUAUUUUUUGUCUUAUUGUCUCUAUAAAAAAAUUAAUAUAAGAUGUUGACGUAGCUAAACCGUAACCGUUCAAAUAGGAAAUGAGGGAAGGGGGAAAGAUUAGAAGGGGAGAUAAUCAUUCUCCAUAAUAAAUAAACACGUUUAACAAAUUUAAUAAUAAUCUAAUUAUCAACACACAUGCCAUACGACUUUAUAAACUUUAAUUUAAAUAAAUGAAAUUGUUAUUAGCACUUCAAAAAUCUUAUUUUGCACUCCAAACUCUCUAUAAUUAGAAAGAAAAAUACACUAGUGAGGAGUGUAGAAUGAGAUUUUUUGAAUGCUAAUAACAGUUCUCUAAAUAAAUGAGCACUCUUAAAAUACCUAUUUAGAAAAUAAGAAAUGCUAAGAAGAGUCUCAAAAGUGGAACUCUCUGUCACCUUAUGUUUGACAUAAUGUUUUAUAAUUUUGGCAUGAAAAUUGACAUUAAACUGUGAGGUGACAAAAAAUUUAUAAAAAGUCUCAUUGUGAGGUUAAGCCCACCCCCUUCUCAUCUCCCCUUAGUGUAGAUAAUAUUGUUUGUUCAAAAAAAAAAUCCCACUUUAAAAGUCUCUUUAGCAUUUCUCUUACAAAAUAUGAAGGGUUGCGAGCCCAAAUCGAUCAAAAUCUCAAAAAGAUUGGAAGAACUAUAUUCUGUACUAGACGAAUUUUUUUUUAAAAUUUUUUUAACAAAUAAUAUUAUCUAUACUAAAGGGGUAG
rnacentral:lncRNA from 1 species